rnacentral:rRNA from 1 species
GAUUGAACGCUGGCGGCAGGCCUAACACAUGCAAGUCGAGCGGAUGAGAGGAGCUUGCUCCUGGAUUCAGCGGCGGACGGGUGAGUAAUGCCUAGGAAUCUGCCUGGUAGUGGGGGACAACGUUUCGAAAGGAACGCUAAUACCGCAUACGUCCUACGGGAGAAAGCAGGGGACCUUCGGGCCUUGCGCUAUCAGAUGAGCCUAGGUCGGAUUAGCUAGUUGGUGAGGUAAUGGCUCACCAAGGCGACGAUCCGUAACUGGUCUGAGAGGAUGAUCAGUCACACUGGAACUGAGACACGGUCCAGACUCCUACGGGAGGCAGCAGUGGGGAAUAUUGGACAAUGGGCGAAAGCCUGAUCCAGCCAUGCCGCGUGUGUGAAGAAGGUCUUCGGAUUGUAAAGCACUUUAAGUUGGGAGGAAGNGCAGUAAAUUAAUACNUUGCUGUUUUGACGUUACCGACAGAAUAAGCA